CAAAAACUAGUGAGUUUUAGAUUAUUGAGGAAAAUGUUUAAAAGUUGGAAACACAAACACAUGCAGUAUCAAUCUCAGAAUUUGAAAACAAGGUCAUUAUUUACAAUCAAAUACGGCCGAAACAGAUGACCACAAAUAGAUUAUUGCUGACAUGAAAGAUUUUAUGAUUCAUCGGUCUUUUGGGGUUCAGGACAUGUACGGGCAUUGUCUUGUGCAAGCUCUCUUCGGCUGAGACACUACACGAGCCAUCGGAUUCAGAACUCUCAAUAUGUGGACUAACAUGACCUGCAGGAUCCGAGGGAGAAAUAAAUAAUGGUGUGAGAUGUUUUAACAAGGCAUCAAGCUGUAUAAUACAUACAAUCAAACAAAACUUAUAUGAAGCAAAUUAAAAACUAGAAAAUCAUUGACAGAACAACUGAAAAAUUCUCCGUCGAACAAAAGUUAAGCCAAUGCCUUAACCCGGGAUGACAAAACUAGAACGCAGAAUAAAAAAAUAAGCAAGGGAGAUCAAAAGCACAAAUACAGAGAAUCGGAGGAGAUCACACUUGCUUAUGCUUUGAACUGAAAACCAAUGACAAAAGCAUAACAAAAAUGUAGGAACAGGAAGUGAACUCCUUUUGUAUGUACCAUUACUGCCUAUGAAAAUUGAGUCGGAAAUUGUUCACUUGAUUGUUUGUUAAUGGGUUUUGAGACAUAAAUUCUUAGAACCAGCCAUAUUACAAAAAACACUUUCCCAAAACACUCUCAAAACAUAUUCAGCCUCAAAACGAGAUUCAAAAAAACAAACAAUGAAUAAAACAUGUUCUUCUACGUGUCACUUUAUAUACUUUCUAUAAGUACUAUCGAUCACUAAGCAUUGCAAAAAUCUGAUUUCAAUUAAACUAAAUAAUAGAGGAACUUCUAUACUAAUCUACAACAGGAAUAUUCGAUUAACAGGAACACAGAACCAAACAUCUAACAUACACUAAACAUAAAGAACAAAGGAACCUUGUAAAAACCUAAUUGUUCUUCGCAAAUCACCAUUUGCAGAACAACCGGAGAUAUAUAAACUAAGAAGGUAAUCACCGCGAAGGAAGUCCGAAUUAAAAAUUGCAACCACUAUGACGAGGAGAACAAGAAAAUAUAUAUUGUGACUAUACAAGGAGAGAGACAACCGAUGCGCACAUUUACCGUCAUCCUCAAGCGCCACUCUCGUAAGUGACAGUUACUACGGAUAUAUACGG
rnacentral:lncRNA from 1 species